rnacentral:lncRNA from 1 species
ACUCCCCCCUCAAAGAGGAGUGUAUAAUAUUAAUCCAAAUGCAGUUUAUUUAUGGAUGGGAGAUCGUCUUUCUUGCAUUGUGGAUGAAAAAGACACUAUAACAUAUCAAAUCUUUACUUUAGAUAUGGAUUCAGGAAAAUGGACUCUUUAUCAUGUGAUAGGACCUUUUGAUAAUACUAUUUGCCCCCGUAAGCGUGGUUUUGAUUUUGAUAUACAGGGGACGGUUGUGUUGUUUCUGUUUUGGUUCAAUGACCAAAUUAUCUUUAGAGUAGAGUUCAUUCCAACACGAAUGCCACGAAAGUCAUAUAUACAAAUGUCAAUGUCAUCUACACGAAGAUUACCAACGGAAAAAGUACAUUUUUGUUACAAUGUCAAGACCAGACAACUGACAAAGAUUGAUUGCAUUAGGAAAUUAUUAUAAGAGAAUAUCCACUCCCCCCUCAAAGAGGAGUGUAUAAUAUUAAUCCAAAUGCAGUUUAUUUAUGGAUGGGAGAUCGUCUUUCUUGCAUUGUGGAUGAAAAAGACACUAUAACAUAUCAAAUCUUUACUUUAGAUAUGGAUUCAGGAAAAUGGACUCUUUAUCAUGUGAUAGGACCUUUUGAUAAUACUAUUUGCCCCCGUAAGCGUGGUUUUGAUUUUGAUAUACAGGGGACGGUUGUGUUGUUUCUGUUUUGGUUCAAUGACCAAAUUAUCUUUAGAGUAGAGUUCAUUCCAACACGAAUGCCACGAAAGUCAU